rnacentral:rRNA from 1 species
GAUGAACGCUGGCGGCGUGCCUAAUACAUGCAAGUCGAGCGAACGGACGAGAAGCUUGCUUCUCUGAUGUUAGCGGCGGACGGGUGAGUAACACGUGGAUAACCUACCUAUAAGACUGGGAUAACUUCGGGAAACCGGAGCUAAUACCGGAUGAUAUUUUGAACCGCAUGGUUCAAAAGUGAAAGACGGUCUUGCUGUCACUUAUAGAUGGAUCCGCGCUGCAUUAGCUAGUUGGUAAGGAACGGCUUACCAAGGCAACGAUGCAUAGCCGACCUGAGAGGGUGAUCGGCCACACUGGAACUGAGACACGGUCCAGACUCCUACGGGAGGCAGCAGUAGGGAAUCUUCCGCAAUGGGCGAAAGCCUGACGGAGCAACGCCGCGUGAGUGAUGAAGGUCUUCGGAUCGUAAAACUCUGUUAUUAGGGAAGAACAUAUGUGUAAGUAACUGUGCACAUCUUGACGGUACCUAAUCAGAAAGCCACGGCUAACUACGUG